UGCUGCACCCUGGGACCUCUGGCCU
rnacentral:miRNA from 1 species